rnacentral:rRNA from 1 species
UACAGAGGGUGCAAGCGUUAAUCGGAAUUACUGGGCGUAAAGCGUGCGUAGACGGUUACAUAAGUCGGGUGUGAAAGCCCCGGGCUCAACCUGGGAAUUGCAUUCGAGACUGCGUAGCUAGGGUGCGGAAGAGGGAAGCGGAAUUUCCGGUGUAGCGGUGAAAUGCGUAGAGAUCGGGAGGAACACCGGUGGCGAAGGCGGGUCUCUGGGCAAUUCCUGACGCUGAGGCGCGAAAGCGUGGGGAGCAAACGGG